rnacentral:misc_RNA from 1 species
GAACCGCGAUAAUUGAUGUGAAUUGCAGAAUUGCGUGAUCAUUGAUGUCUUGAAUGCAAAUGGCGGGAGUCCCUUUACGGUACUCCCGUUGACGAAAGAGCGCGAAUACCUUAUUUCGAACUCCUCUCGGGGGGAUUGAGUAUAUGGCAUUUGCCUUGAAAGGGUGGCGUAUGCUAAAAAACGACCUUCGGUACUUCAAGUUGGAGUAAUCUAAUAAACGAGUACCCUGAAAUCGUCUGUACACUUUACCUUAUUAACCUCUUUCGUCAACGACUACCCACCGAACUUAAGC